UACGGAGGGUGCGAGCGUUGUUCGGAAUCACUGGGCGUAAAGCGCGUGUAGGCGGCCCACUAAGUCUGAUGUGAAAGCCCGGGGCUCACCCCCGGAAGUGCAUUGGAAACUGGUGGACUCGAGUCCCGGAGAGGAGAGUGGAAUUCCUGGUGUAGCGGUGAAAUGCGUAGAUAUCAGGAGGAACACCGGUGGCGAAGGCGGCUCUCUGGACGGUGACUGACGCCGAGACGCGAAAGCGUGGGGAGCAAACAGG
rnacentral:rRNA from 1 species